GCAGCGGCGGGAACCACUAGGUUUGCUGCGAUACCAUGGAAGGAGGCGGGGGAAGCGGCAACAAAACCACAGGGGGAUUGGCCGGCUUUUUCGGAGCCGGCGGAGCAGGUUACUCGCACGCGGAUUUGGCUGGCGUCCCGCUAACUGGUAUGAACCCUCUGUCUCCUUAUUUAAAUGUGGAUCCACGAUACCUCGUGCAGGAUACAGAUGAGUUUAUUUUACCUACCGGAGCUAAUAAAACCCGGGGCAGAUUUGAGCUGGCCUUCUUUACGAUUGGAGGAUGUUGCAUGACAGGGGCUGCGUUUGGGGCAAUGAAUGGUCUUCGGCUAGGAUUGAAGGAAACCCAGAACAUGGCCUGGUCCAAACCAAGAAAUGUACAGAUUUUGAAUAUGGUGACUAGGCAAGGGGCACUUUGGGCUAAUACUCUAGGUUCUCUGGCUUUGCUCUAUAGCGCAUUUGGUGUCAUCAUUGAGAAAACACGAGGUGCAGAAGAUGACCUUAACACAGUAGCAGCUGGAACCAUGACAGGCAUGUUGUAUAAAUGUACAGGUGAGUACUGUUGAAUGGAGAGCCAUCUCUUAAUACACUUGAAGUGCACUUUUUAAAAUUCAUGGUUUUCAAGGAAAUUACACUUUGUUGCAGUGUAAUCUGGUGUUCUAACUUUAUGGUUAUUUUGGUUUGGUUUGGUUUUUAAUUGUGGUAAAAUAAACAUAAGAUUUACCCAUCUUAACCAUUUUUAAGUGUACAGUACAUUAGUAGUAUAGUCACAUGAUUAUAUAACCAAUCUCUGGAACUUUUUCAUCUUGCAAAACUGAUACUCUGUACCUAUUAAGCCUCCUCCCAAUUUACCACUCUCCUUAGCUCCUGAUAAUGUUACACUUUCUGUCUCUGAAUUGGCUGUUUUAGGCAUCUCAUAUAGGUAGAAUCAUACAAUAUUUGUCCUUUUUUGAUUGGCUUAUUUUACAUAGCGUAAUAUCCUCAAGGUUCAUCCAUGUUGUUGCAUGUGCCAGAAUUCCCUUCCUUUUUAAAGCUAAAUAAUAUUCAUUCUGUGUAUGUAUACCACAUUUUGCAUGUGCAUUCUUUUAUCAAGGGAUAUUUGGGUUGCUUCUACCUUUUGGCUAUUGUGAAUAAUGCUGCUACGAAUAUGGAUGUACAAAUAUCUCUCCAAGAUCCUUCUUUCUUUUUUCGGGUAUAUGCGCAGAAGUGGGAUUCUUGGAUCAUAUGGUUUAUGGUGGUUUUUUGACAUUAAGAAUAUAAGAUUCUUUUCUGUAUUUUUCAUUCAUUUUAGUUUAGUUUUUUUAAUCUUGGACAGACUAAGCAAUAGAAUAUUCAGAAUUGUUGGUUUUGUUUUAAACAAUAGUUUGACCUGUGACAUCAGCAUAUGAAACUAUCACAAGACACACACAAGGUCAAAGCCCAGGAAUGACUUCCCUGUAAGUCAAUUUAGAGCAUCUUAUUCCUAUGAUCAACUUACUCUACUGGGAGAUCAACACGUUGCUGUCAAGGGUCAGAUAAUUCUCUUCUGUGAUAAGUUUACUAGUUUAGAAGCAUACAUUCAAGUAAUGCCUAAUUUAGCUUUUUUAUUGUGUUGAUACAUCUUUGGCUACUUAAUUUUUAUUUUUAUCAAAAUAAUCCACAUACAUGAUUUUUUAAGUCAAGGUUUUUAUGUUAACAUCUAAAAGAUUUUAGUGAUGUUUAGUCCACAUACAUGAUUUUUUAAGUCAAGGUUUUUAUCUUUUUAACAUCUAAAAUAUUUUAAUGAUGUGCAACAGUGUUCUAUACGUCUCACCUUAAUUCCCUUUUCCCAAAGGCAACUUUUAAUUUUUUUUUUUAUUAUUUUUUUUCUUUUUUGAGACGGAGUCUUGCUCCUGGGCGUUAGAACGAGCCUCCGGCUCAAAAUGAAGUGACAUGACAUGACAUGACAUGAUGAAAUGAAAUAAUGAAUAAUGAAAUGCGGGUGGUGCACUCCAGCCUGGGCGAUGCAGCAAGUCUGUGUCAUGAAAUGGAAUGGCAUGGAAUUGAAUGGGAAUGGGAAUAUCGGAAUAUGGGAAUGGAAUAAAUGAAAUGAAGAAAUAUGAAAUGCCAGGUGUGGUGGCGCACUCCAGCCUGGGUGAUAGAGCGAGUCUCUAUCUUGAAGUGAAGUGAAAUGAAAUGAAAUGAAAUGAAAUAAAUGAAUACUGAAAUGAAAUAAUAAAAUGAAAUGCCAGGUGUGGUGGCACACUCCAGCCUGGGCAAUAGAGCGAGUCUCUGUCUUGAAA